CUUUGGGCGUGCUGCUCUCCCAACCAGGCUGGAGAGCUAUACCUGGCAUGUGCCCCUUGGCAUUUGUCAUCUUACUCCAAAGCGUUCUCUUUUCUCCGAAGAGCCCAAACCUUGUGGAGUAUCCAUUGGUGGCAUUUUGCCUGAGCAAGGCUAGCAGGAUCAGGCCACACGACACCAAGAUGAAGGAACAGCUUCCCUGUGAUCUGGAAAACUGAUCUGGUGAUGCCACUGGCUGACACGCCAUCUGGAACGGCUUCCCUGGUGGGGAGGGAGUAUCGCGUGUCCUGUGGGAAGGAUACAAGCAUUGCCCAGCCGUCAAUCAGCCGAGGUGGAUCAUUUACCCCUUCUGGUGGAACUUAUCCUCCAAAAGAUAAACCAAACGCUGUGCAGAAACACUGCAACAGAAAGGGACGAGGCUGGUUUUUAGCCAGCGUCCAUGAGUAAAACUCUUUUUGCAUGUGAGCUACCACUGAACUUUGGAAAUUUUGCCCGUCGGGUGAGAAUUCUGGAAAUGAUCCCACUGAAAGAGGCUCUGUAAUGUCAUCACUUGAGUGGUCUGACUUUGAGACGCACCGAGUACCCGGUACCUCCUGGGCUAUUCUCAGCGCUUCUGAGAAACUCAGCCACCAUCCAGCGCUCAGCUACGGGCUCAGAAGUGUCAGGUUCGUCCUUCGUGCAGACAUGUCGAGAGGGCUUACUGCUAUGUGCCGCGGCACGACUGCUCCGAGCAACAAACCCAAGCCCUUUUCCCCAUCUCAGCCACAGAGAGCAACCCGGGAUGCUUGUGUGAGCUGGAGACGGGCUCCUGAGCCUUUCCCCUUUUGCAGCAGCAGCAGCAUUCAGCUGGAGGCGUGGAGCAGGCGAGACCCCUGCCACCCCACACAGAGUGCAGGAGUCACGCACUUGGCUCCCUGAGCACCGUCUCUCAUAGAGGAGGUCGUCCCAUCCUUUUGCAGUGCAUUGCUGGAGCCUUUCUCUUGCUCUGCGAGUCCCUGUGCUCCGCAGCUGGUUGGCAGAUCCGCCACAGACAAGCAGCUUCUGGCGCGUGGUCUUUCAGAGUGGAAGAAAGUGGCCAGAGGGACGAUAUCCAUCAAGGGGCAUUGGGCUUGAAACGAGCCCUGAGAGAGGGGCCGUUCCCCGGCCAAGUGCUGUGGCUCUUCUCUGUAUGACCCAGCAGGCUGUAAAUGUCCCUCAGCCUGCGCCAGGUCCUGGCACUCACUUCUGAGACGGAGAAGAAUUUGCUGCAGAGCUUUCCGCGAUCUCUGUGGAGCACUUGAGAUAACACGCCCAAGACAGAAGUCUCUUCUGAAGACAUACGGGUUUCAUAAGCACCUUGAGGUCCACAGAGCCACCUGGCAGAGGAAAGGGAAAGUGGAGAUAGAGAGGAACACAAAUGUCUGCAUGCCUGGUGGUCUCUGCCUCGCCUCCAAACAAGUCAGCUCCAUCCUUCAGCUGAGACAAGGCUGCUCCAUCACCAAAGAUUUCCCUCCCGUGUCCACCUCCUCUCCCACGAGUGCUCCUCUGGGAGGUCAGUGACCAUCCCUGCCACCUCACUGCUUGCCUGGCAUCAAUCAGUGUGCUGAGCUGCUCCGAAACCAGCUGUCCUAUUUACUCACGCUCUUCAUUUCACAUGCUCAGGCACAUCUUCCUGACAGCGCUUGUUGUCCUUCUUCUGUUAUUUUAAUCUGGAAAGAAGGAGAUCAAGCAUUAUCCAUUUACCAGCUUUUCUACGGAGCAUAAGCAUUCCUUGGGUUUUCCUCAGGGACCCAUUAUUCAAGAACACUGUAGCUCUUUCAGUCUAUUUCCGCAAAUCCUCUUGAAAAGAGUGUCUGAGUUAACAGUGUUGCCAAUAUCAAGCUUUCAAGAAUAAUGAGCCAGGCCUCCAAAGUCAUGAGAUUAGUUUUAAAAUAGAGUGUUUUGUGCCUUUUUUUUUUUUUUUAAUAAAAACAAGCAUUAAAAUUUGGCA
rnacentral:lncRNA from 1 species